rnacentral:tRNA from 1 species
GGCGGGUGCGGAUCGGGUGAGUGUAGAACUGCCGCUGUCAUUAACGGCGGGUCAGGCGGCGGAUCAUGCCGCCUACCUGUUG